AACGAACGCUGGCGGCAGGCUUAACACAUGCAAGUCGAACGCCCCGCAAGGGGAGUGGCAGACGGGUGAGUAACGCGUGGGAAUCUACCGUGCCCUGCGGAAUAGCUCCGGGAAACUGGAAUUAAUACCGCAUACGCCCUACGGGGGAAAGAUUUAUCGGGGUAUGAUGAGCCCGCGUUGGAUUAGCUAGUUGGUGGGGUAAAGGCCUACCAAGGCGACGAUCCAUAGCUGGUCUGAGAGGAUGAUCAGCCACAUUGGGACAGGGACACGGCCCAGACUCCUACGGGAGUCAGCCGUGGGGAGUAUUGGCCAAUGGGCGCAAGCCUGAUCCAGCCAUGUCGCGUGAGAGAUAAAGGCCCUAGGGUUGUAAAGCUCUCUCACCGGUGAAGAUAAAUGCGGUAAGCGGAGAAGAAGCGCCGGCUCAGUUCCUGCCACCCGCCGUAGUAAAAC
rnacentral:rRNA from 1 species